CCUACGGGGGGCUGCAGUGGGGAAUAUUGGACAAUGGGGGGAACCCUGAUCCAGCCAUGCCGCGUGUGUGAAGAAGGCCCUCGGGUUGUAAAGCACUUUCAGUGAGGAAGAACGCCUGGUGGUUAAUACCCAUCAGGAAAGACAUCACUCACAGAAGAAGCACCGGCUAACUCCGUGCCAGCAGCCGCGGUAAUACGGAGGGUGCGAGCGUUAAUCGGAAUUACUGGGCGUAAAGCGCGCGUAGGUGGCUUGAUAAGCCGGUUGUGAAAGCCCCGGGCUCAACCUGGGAACGGCCUCCGGAACUGUCAAGCUAGAGUGCAGGAGAGGAAGGUAGAAUUCCCGGUGUAGCGGUGAAAUGCGUAGAGAUCGGGAGGAAUACCAGUGGCGAAGGCGGCCUUCUGGACUGACACUGACACUGAGGUGCGAAAGCGUGGGUAGCAAACAGGAUUAGAUACCCCAGUAGUC
rnacentral:rRNA from 1 species